GUUUAAAUAGCUCAAGUGUAGAGUAUAAUAUUGAAGAUAUUAUGGUAAUAAUUUUAUUUUUAAACA
rnacentral:tRNA from 1 species